rnacentral:rRNA from 1 species
UACAGGAGUGGCAACACCUCUGUAAAGCUAGUGGCGAACGGGUGAGUAACGCGUAGGCAAUCUGCCUUGGAGAUUGGGACAACCAUUCGAAAGAAUGGCUAAUACCAAAUACCUUGUAUUAAUCGCAUGAUUUUUAUAAUAAAGGGGGCUUCGGCUCUCGCUUCAAGAUGAGCCUGCGUCCUAUUAGCUAGUUGGUGAGGUAACGGCUCACCAAGGCCGCGAUGGGUAGCCGGCCUGAGAGGGUGAUCGGCCACAUUGGGACUGAGAUACGGCCCAGACUCCUACGGGAGGCAGCAGUGGGGAAUAUUGCGCAAUGGGCGAAAGCUUGACGCAGCGCCACCCUGUGAAGGAUGAAGGCCUUCGGGUCGUAAACUUCUGUCAAUUGGGGACGAAGGUGCUAGAGUUAAUACCUUCUAGCAUUGACGGUACCCAAUAAGGAAGUCUCGGCUAACUCCGUGCCAGCAGCCGCGGUAAGACGGAGGAGGCAAGCGUUGUCCGGAAUCAUUGGGCGUAAAGAGCGCGUAGGCUGUCUUUCAAGUCAUAUGUGAAAACUUCAGGCUUAACUUGAAGAUUGCAUAUGAAACUGGAAGACUUGAGUGCAGUAGGGGAAAGUGGAAUUCCUGGUGUAGCGGUGAAAUGCGCAGAUAUCAGGAAGAACACCAGUAGCGAAGGCGGCUUUCUGGGCUGCAACUGACGCUGAGGCGCGAAAGCUAGGGGAGCAAACAGGAUUAGAUACCCUGGUAGUCCUAGCCGUAAACGAUGGACACUAGGUGUGGGAAGUUAUCGACGCUUUCCGUGCCGAAGUUAACGCAUUAAGUGUCCCGCCUGGGGAGUACGGCCGCAAGGCUAAAACUCAAAGGAAUUGACGGGGGCCCGCACAAGCGGCGGAGCAUGUGGCUUAAUUCGACGCAACGCGAAGAACCUUACCAAGGCUUGACAUCAUAUUGACGGUUAUAGAGAUAUAACUUCUCUUCGGAGCAAUAUGACAGGUGGUGCAUGGCUGUCGUC